rnacentral:ncRNA from 2 species
AACAAAGAUUGAGGUUGCAGAAAACAAUAGUAACUAGUUGGAAGCGAAAAAGCGUUAUUGAAAACUAGUGAAAGGGUGAUCUGCCGAAAUGGUCAUUUGCUUUUUCAAAUGGCUGUUGGGGCUUGGCUGAAUAAGUCAGGAACUGUCGUGAUGAUAAUCAUCACGGGGCGCUAUCGACUAA